UCUUAAUUUUUUUGGUUCUAGAGAUGAAGUCUCACUUUGUUUCCCAGGCUGUUCUUCGAUUCCUGGGCUCAAUCGAUCCUCCCACCGCAGCCUCCCAAAGUUCUGAGAUUACAGGCAUGAGCCGUCGUACCUGGCCUAAUCCCCUGCUUUGGUUUUACUAGAAAGGAUUUUGUAGCUAAUUUUGGUCCAUCAAAUGCCAAAUAAACAAGAUUUUAGUAAUAGAGGUAACUAGAUGUAAAAUAUGAUGCAGAAAUUUACUUACAAAAGUCACAGCUGUCUGAACGGGAAAUACAGUAUUGGUAGACCUCAUCUUCUCAACUCAUGACUUGUAAUUUGCCUAUCUAAACAAAUACACAACAGCCUUGUUUUUAUUGCCUGCUAUUCCACCUAAGAUUUUUUUUUUUUUUUUUUUUUUUUUGAGACUGAGUUUCUCUCUUGUUACCCAGGCUGGAGUGCAAUGGCAUGAUCUCGGCUCACCGCAACCUCCACCUUCUGGGUUCAGGCAACUGAACCUCCUGCCUCAGCCUCCUGAGUAGCUGGGAUUACAGGCGCGCACCACCAUGCUCAGCUAAUUUUUUUUGUAUUUUUAGUAGAGACGGAGUUUCACCAUGUUGGUCUCAAUCUCUUGACCUCGUGAUCCACCCGGCUCGGCCUCCCAAAGUGCUGGGAUUACAGACUUGAGCCACUGCCCCCACCUGAGAUUCUUGGGUAUCAUCUCUUAAAGACUCAAAUAGCUCUGAGAGAUAGGAGGGCUUGAUAGUCGUUCACACAUUGGCAUUAACUAUUUCAGUCAGUUUGCAUUUUUUUUUUUUUAAAUACAGAGUUUCACUCUUAUUGCCUAGGCUGGAAUGCAGUGACAUGAUCACAGCUCACUACAGUCUCGACCUCCUGGACACAAACAAUCCUCCCACCUUAGCCUCCUGAGUAGCACCUGCCACCAUCCCUGGCUAACUUUUUUAUUUUUCGUAGUAAUGGGAUCUUGCUAUGUUGCCCAGGCUGAUCUUGAACUCCUGGGCUCAAGCAAUCCUCCUGCCUUGACCUCCCAAUGUGCUGCGAUUACCAUACUUCAUCUGGCCAGGUCGCCUUCUUUUUGACACAGAUCAGUAGCACCUAAACUCUGAAAGUUUUGGGCAAAUUAUGUUUAAGAAAAACACUGAGUGCCUCAGGGAAGGCCUUAGACCUUAGGCCAGAGGUUCUGGGAGGAGCAGCCUUAAGCAAAAGAAGAAAAUGAAGAAAAGGAGACGGAAGGAUUUAAAAAUUUAACCUGUUCAACUUCAGAUCUUGCAUAUUGCCAGUUCUAGGCCUCUUAUUUUGGAAUCCAGAAAAUACUGCUGUAAGACAGUCAUGAAUCUUUUGAGUCUGGCCUGGGAGACCUAAACACCAUCAUAACAUUGUAUCAGUUUCGAUCACAUGAAAUAGCAAUUUUUUUUUUUGAGAUGGAGUCUCCCUCUGUUGCCCAGACUGGAGUGCAGUGGCACGAUCUCGGCUUACUGCAACCUCUGCCUCCUGGAUUCAAGCGAUUCUCCUGCCUCAGCUUCCCAAGUAGUUGGGACUAUAGGCACAUGCCACCACACCUGGCUAAUUUUUGUAUUUGUAGUAGAGAUGGGGUUUCACCAUAUUGGCCAGGCUGGUCUCUAACUACUGACCUCAUGAUCCACCCACCUUGGCCUCCCAAAGUGCUGGGAUUACACUGCACCUGGCCUGAAAUAGCGGUGUAUUCUCCAAUGAUUCAACCUAGUUUCUAUGAGGUAUUAUUCACAGAAAGUAGAGUGUCCUAAAAUCUUCCUUCCUUCCUUCCUUUCUUCCUUUCUUCUUUCCCUCCUUCCUCUGUUUCUUUUCUUUCCUUUCCCCUUCCUUCCUUCCUUGCUUCUCUCCUCCGUCCCCACUGCCCCCCUCUCUCUUGCAUCCAGGCUGAAAGUGCAGUGGUCUGAUCCCAGCCUGCUGCCCUGACAUCUGGGCUCAGGUAAUCCUCGCACCUCAGCCUCCUGUGUAGCUGGGACCACAGGGACAUGGAUGAAUCUGGAGAACAUCAUCCUCAGCAAACUGACACAAGAAUAGAAAUGAAACACCGCAUAUUCUCACUCAUAGCUGAACUAAGGAGCAAAAAAUCCUGCAUCAAGGGUUCCAUCUUAGAAGUGAAUCCUCCAGCCCCAGUCAAGCCUUCAGAUGACUACAGCCUCUGCCAACCUCCUGCCCAAAACUGUAAGAAAGACCCUGAGCCAAAACCACUCAUAUCAGCCGUGUUGAAAUUCCCAACCCACAGAAAAUAAGAUCAUAAAUGUUUGCUGUUUUAAGCUGCCAAGCUUUGGGGUAAUUUGUUACACAGCAAUAGAUAACUGAUACAGUCUCGGAAGUAACAAAUACCUUUUCUGUGUCCACCAGGAGAAGAUCAUCUGAGGUAAAGUGCCUUUUCAUUAAUAUGCUACUUGAAUAUAUGACAGGACUAUAGAAUUCAUCAGACUUCUAAUACCACAUGGAAUUGGGUCAGGGCUGGAGGGAGCACUCGAGGCCAGCCAAUCCAAGAAAGGCUCUCAUUCCUUUCCCCAUUGUAUCAGUGUUCUACUGCUACUGUAACAAAUUGCCACAAAUGUAGUGACUUUAGACAACACAACUGUAAUAUCUUAUUGCUUUGGAGGUCAGAAGUCCACACACUAUCUGCAGGGCUAUGAUCUUUCUGGGGGCUUUGUGGGAGAAUCCACUUUCUUGUCUUUACCAGCUUCUGGAGGCGGCCCACACUCCUUGGCUCACUGCCGUACAUCACUCUGACCUCUCCUUCUGGCAUCACAUCUUCUUUGACUCUCACCCUCCUGCCUCCCACUUAGAAGAAAUUUUAUGAUUACUUGGGCCCACCCAGGCAAUCUGGAAUAAUCUUCUCAAGAGUGAAGAUCUUUAGCUUAAUCACAUUUGCAAAGUCCCCUUUGCCAUGUAAGGUAACAUAUUCCUGGGUCCAGGGAUCAGCCAUGGACAUCUCAGAGUGGCCACUUUUCUGCUACCAUGCUCACGGUUCAAAAUGCAGAUCCAAGUGGCUCUCUGGUCUCUUCCAUUUGCAGAGCAGCACCACGCCACCAACCCCACUUUAUUCUAUCUGAGGGGCCUUCUGAUUUCCUCUCUUCCCACAUGUUUGUCUUGUUGGGCGAGGGCCCUUCAUACUUCCUUGUUUUACCAAACCUGAGUCUUCCCUAAGAACACUGCUUCCACUACAGUUCUCUGAGAGCAGAGUUUUCAAACUCCUAUGCUGUGCUGGCCACAGGAGAGGAAGGGUUUCUGUAUCAUCCUAGUUCUGGGUUGUCAUUUCCAAGACAUUUAUCUUUGCCCUUCAUUCAAUGUCUUCUUCAUUUAAUAAUUAUGCUGCCUUCCUCGCUUAUCACUGACAUUUAUCAACUACAUCUAUUUUUUUUUUGUUUCUUUCCAAAACUCAACAUUUCUCUUCAUCCUGCUAUUUUCCUAGGGAACUGAAGAGUGUAGGAAGAUGACUUAUCUCAUGCAGUGUCCCGAGCUCCCCUCAGCCUCAACUCCAGUGACUUUGCCUCCAUGCUCAUAAUCAUACUCUGAACCUUUCUUCAUCACUGUCUAAAACUCUUCCUCCUCUGAAAGUUUAAAGGACAAGAUUCCACUCGCUCAUCACAACUUUCCUAUCAUUCCAGCCAUUCCAUUCCUCAUGCCCACAACACCCCAUCACCACUAGCAGUGGCUCUAGUCCUUAAUAUGUUUGUAAUAGUUUAAAAAAUUAUUCCCUCCACAAAAAAGUUAAGCAUAGAAUAACCAUAUGAUCCAGCAAUUCUACUUCCAGGCACAUACUCACAAGCAUUGAAAGCUGGGAUUUGAAUAGACAUUUGUACACCCAAGUUUAUGGCAGCAUGAUUCACAGCAGCCAACAGAAGAAGCAACCCAAGUGUCUGUCAACAGCUGAAUCGAUGAACAAAAUGCAGCCGAUGCAUACAAUGGAAUAUGAGUCAACCUUAAAAAAGGAAGGAAAUUCUGAUGUGUGCUACAACAUAGAGGAAUCUUAGGUUUAGGAUAUUUUGUUAAAUGAAAUAAGCCGGAUAAAAAAGGACAAAAACAGUAUGAUUUCACUUAUACGAGGUAUCUAGAAUAGGCAAAUUUAUAGAAACAGAAAAUAGAGGGCCAGGCAGGGUGGCUCAUACCUUUAAUCCCAGCAUUUUGGGAGGCUAAGGCAGGCAGAUCACUUGAGGUCAGGAGUUCAAGACCAGCCUGGCCGAGAUGGUGAAACCCUGUCUCUACUAAAAAUACAAAAAUUAGCCAGGUAUAGUGGUGCAUGCCUGUAAUCCAAGCUUCUUGGAAGGCUGAGGUGGGAAGAUAGCUUAAACCUGGGAAGUGGGGGUUGCAUUAAGCUGAGAUGGCACUACUGCACUCCAGCCUGGGCAACAGAGUGAGACUGUCUCAAAAAAAAAGGGAGGAGGGGAUAAUAGAAUGGUGGUUGGCAGGGGUUGGGGAAAAGGGGAGAAUUGGGAGUUAGUAUUUAAUGAGUACAGAGUUUUAGUUUGGGAAUAUGCAAAAGUUCUGGACAUGGAGGGUGGUGAUGGUUGAACAACAGUGUGAAUGUGCUUAAUGCCACUGAAAUAUGUAUCUAAAAAUAACAAGAAUGGUAAAUUUUAUGUUAUAUAUAUUUUACCACAAUAAAAAAUUCUCCCCAUCUUUCAGGUGAGGAAAUCAAGACUCAGAGAGGUUAAAUAUCUUGCCCAAGAGCCAGUGACGGUCAUCCACUUUGCCAGGCUCAAUGUUGGAGCCAGGAUUUGGACCUGAGCAGUUGACUCCUGAGCUCCCACUCUUAAUCACUAUCCCAUUAAGAAUGACCAAAGCUCUGACUCUCACUUGUUCCUCAGCCUAUCACCACCUUUCCAGUCUGCCUCUGCCCCUGGGGAUUCUUAAAUACCCCCACAUUUCCAGCUUUCCAGGCAAAUGGGCUUCUAUAGCCUGGGGUCAGCCCUAGGGCUCAUAGACACAGGUGCUGGCUGUGGGCUGUGAACACUGAAAUGGUGAAGGGUCUGGGGGACUUGGCAGAGCACUGUGGGCACCUGUCCUGCCUGUGCGUCUUUGGACCGCUCUAGUUUCCCCUUUCCAGGGCGGCCUGUCCAAACCUCGCCACACUUCUGAAAGCAGCCUUCCUCUCCUGCCACUAUUCUCUCAGCAGAUGGUCUUCUACUUUCUUGGGAAAACUGCAGCUUCCAGGCUUGCCUCAGGCACAUCCGUCUUCCUGACCACUGAUAAUUCAUCCAUCUGGGCUCCAGCUCUCAUUCCCUCUCAUCUCCAUGUGGCUCCCAUUCCACCCACGGUCCCCCUCUCUAUUUUCUAUGGUCAACCUUUUGCUAUCUGUUGUUUCUGCCUUUUUGGAAAUGUGUGUAAAUGUACCCCAUCUUAAAAACAAAUAAAAAGUUGGCCAGGCAUGGUGGCUCAUGCCUGUAAUCCCAGCACUUUGGGAGGCCAAGGCAGGUGGAUCAUUUGAGGUCAGGAGUUCGAGACUAGCCUGGCCAAUAUGGUGAAAGUCUGUCUCUACUAAAAAUAAAAAAAUUAGCCGGGUGUAGUGGUGUAUUCCUGUAAUACCAGCUACUCAGGAGGCUGAGGUAGGAGAAUUGCUUGAACCCAGGAGGCAGAGGCCUAGAUUGUGCUACUGUACUCCAGCCUGGGUGAUGGAGUAUGAUGCUGUCUCAAAAAUAAAUAAAUAAAUAGAUAAACAAACAAACAAAAAGUCAAAAACCCAAAAAGACAAGUAGAAAAACCAACCUUUGCCCUGUGUUCUCCCUAGCUAUUGUCUACUUCAGAGCUUCCUUACAAGUCUUCGCCUUCUUGUCUCUCAUUUACUCCUCAACCUUCCUCAGUUCAGUUUCUACCCUAUCACUUCACUAAAACUUGUCCUCCUAAUGUCCGCCCAAAUAAUAACGUAACUGCAUUAGUCCAUUUUUACCCUGCUGUAAAGAAAAACCCAAGGCUGGGUAAUUUAUAAAGAGGUUUAAUUGACUCACAGUCCUCAUGGCUGUGGAGGCCUCAGGAAACUUAUAAUUGUGGCAGAAGGGGAAGCAAGCAGCUUCUUCACAAGGCAGAAGGAGAGAGAGCCAGCAAAGGGGAAGCCCCUUUUAAAACCACUAGAUCUCGUGAGAACUCCCUCACUAUCAUGAGAACAGCAUGAACAGCAUGGGGAAAACUGCACUCAUGAUCCAAUCACCUCCUACCAGGUUCCCCCCAUGCACUUGGGGAUUACAAUUUGAGAUGAGAUUUGGGUGGGGCCACAGAGCCAAAUCAUAUCAAUGACAUAACAUAUAUAACAUAACACACUAUAACAUAUAAACAUGAUAUUUUAAUUACCUAGAGGAGACUUCUCAGUUAAACACUAGCUGAUCUUUUCAAGAUUUUCAGUUUCCCUUUGCCUCCUUCUUUAAAUUAUCUCUUCCUUUCAUCUUGGUAACACCAUUCUUUUCCAAAUCUCUAUAUCCUCCAACUACUCCUUAACACUUAGUGUUUUCUGCAGGGUGCGGUGGCUCACACCUGUAAUCUGAGCACUUUGGGAGGCCGAGGCAGGCAGAAGACCUGAGGUCAAUUCGAGACCACCCUAGCCAAGACAGUGAAACCCUGUUUCUACUGAAAAUACAAAAAUUAGCCAGGGCAUAGUGGCGCAUGCCUGUUAUCCUAGCUACUCAGGAAGCUGAGGUGGGAAAACUCCUUGAUACCGAAAGAUGGAGGUGGCAGUGAGCCCAGAUGGCGCCGUUGCUCUCCAGCCUGGGCAGCAAGAGUGAAACACCAUCUCAAAACAAAACAAAACAAACAAACAAACAAACAAACAAAUAAACAAAAACCCAAAAAACAACUUAGUGUUUUCCAGGCUUGUCUCUCUGUUCGCCCUCAAGUUGAGGGGCUCCCAGCAUGGCUUUAGCUCACUACCUGUGUGUGAAUGAGUCCUCAAUCUCCUUUUCUUCCACUGGCCUCUCUUCCAAGUUCCUACUCACAUUUCUAAAUGUCUUCUUGGCAUUUCCACCCAGUUGUUCCCCAAGGGCAUCAAGCUCUCUCCCUUUGCUACCUGAUGGAAGGGCCAGCCACUUUGAUUCUUUUGUAGCCUCAUCUUUCUUUCCCUGACUUUUAAAUGUUGGUGUUUCUCAGAAGGCUUGGCCUUGACUUUCCCUUUUCUCACCCUACAUUUUUUCAAUUACAUGCAGAUGACUCACAAACUUAUAUCCUUAAUCUAAGACUUUUUCAAAGCUCUGGAACAGGGGUGUUCCAUCUUUUGACUUCCCCAGGCCGCCACAUUGGAAGAAGAAGAAUUGUCUUGGGUCACACAUAAAAUACACUAACAAUAACAAUAGCUGGAAAAAAAAGAAAUAAUAUCUCAUAAUUGUUUUUUGGAGAUGGAGUUUCACUUUUGUUGCCCAGGCUGGAGUGCAAUGGUGCAAUCUCAGCUCACCGCAACCUCUGUCUCCUGGGUUCAAGUGAUUCUCUUGCCUCAGUCUCCCAAAUAGCUGGGAUUACAGGCAUGCGCCACCACACCCAGCUAAUUUUGUAUUUUUAGUAGAGAUGGGGUUUCUCGAUGCUGGUCAGGCUGCUCUCAAACUCCUGACCUCAGGUGGUCCACCCACCUCUACCUCCUGAACUGCUGGGAUUAUAAGAGUGAGCCACCACACCCAGACCAAUAUCUCAUAAUGUUUUAAGAAAGUUUACCAAUUUGUGCAGGGCUGCAUUCAAAGCUGUCCUGGGCCACAUGUGGCCUGUGAGCUGUGGAUUGGGCAAGCUUGCUGUAGACCACUAUACCAAGCAAUUUUCUUGAUUGUUCUUCUUAGGUAUCUCAAAGGCUCCUAAACUCAGCAGACACAGAGUAGACUCAUGAUUUCACCCUACAAAUUCUGUUCUUCAGAAUUCAUUAUUUGAACCACUGGUUUUGCCAUUCAGUCAGCUGCUUAACAACUCCUGUUCCUUUCCCUCCAUAAGGUCACUUUGUAGGAAUUUAUCAACUUCCAUAAGUUUUACUUGUAAGUACUAUUUACCUUUAAAAAACAACUUUAUUGGAGUAUAAUUUAGGUACAAUAAAAUUUGGCAAUUUUAAGUGUACAGUUGAAUGAAGUUUGAUAAAUGUACACAGUUACAUAGCCACUACUACAGUCAAGAUAUAGAAUCUGGGCCAGGAGUGGUGGCUCAUGCCUAUAAUCCCAGCACUUUUGGAGGCCAAGGUGGGUGGAUCACUUGAAGUCAGGAGUCUGAGACCAGCCUGGCCAACGUGGUGAAACCCUGUCUCUACUAAAAAUACAAAAAGAAUUAGCCAGGCAUGGUGGCACACAUCUGUAAUCCCAGCUACUCCAGAGGCUGAGGCAGGAGAAUCACUUGAACCCAGGAGGUGGAGGUUGUAGUGAGCCGAGAUUGCACCACUGCACUCCAGCCUGGGCGACAGAGCAAAACUCCAUCUCAAAAAAAAAACAAAAAACAAGAAACAAAAACACACACAUAUAUAUAAUCUUUCCUUCUUUCCAUCACUCCAAAAAGUUCCCUUGUGCCCCCUUUUCAGUCAUUCUCCUCCCCCAUCCCAGCUGUUUCUGGCAACCAUUGAUUUUUUUUUUUUUUUGUAGAAUUUCCAAAUUAACAGAAUGAUAUGGUAUUAGUCUUUCAUGGCUGGCUUCUUUCACUUGGCAUAAUGCUUUCGAAAUUUGCGUUGUUGCACUUUUCCAUUCAUUCCUUUUUAUUGCUGAGUGGUGUUCUGUUGUGGAGAUAUACCACAGUUUGCUUAUCUAUUCACUAGGUGUUGGACAUUUGGAUAGUUUUCAGUCUGUGGCUUUUAGUCUGUUAGCUUUGUAAAUAAAGCUAACCCAAGUCUUUGUGUGGACAUACAUUUUCAUUUCUCUUGAGUGAAUCUUCUGAGUGAAAUUGCUGGGUCUUAUGGUAAGAGUAUGUAAAACUGCCAAACUGUUUUCCAACGCAGUUGUACCAUUCUGCAUUCCCAUGGACAAUGUGUGAGAGUCCCAGCUGUUCUGUGUCCUUACCAGCACUUGAUGUGGUCAGUCUUUUAAAUGUUAGCAUCCUGAUAGUUGUGCCAUGGAAUCUCAUUAUGGUUUUGGAUAGCAUUUCCCUAAUGACAAAUGGCAUUGAGCAUCUUUCAUUUGCUUAUUUGCCAUUUGUAUAUCUUCUGAGGCAAAGUAUCUGUUCAGAUAUCUUGCCUAUUUAAAAAAUUGGUUUGUCUUUUUGCUAUUGAGCUGUAAAAGUUCUUCUGUAUUCAAGAUACAAGUAUCAGAUACUGUAUGUUUUGCAAGUAUUUUCUGAGUAUACGGUUUGUUUUAUUUCAUUUUCUUAAAAAUGGCAAUUGAAGAAAAAAAUGGAAUUCAGUUUAUCACUUUUUUUCUGUUUUAACGAAUUUAUUUUACAAAAAUACUCCUACAGAAAUGCACACACACUACCAUUAUUUGUAGAAGAGAAAACUGAAAUCUGGACCCCACCCUCUACCCCUGAUUAUUGCAUCUACCCUGUUCCUAGAGAUGAGGUUCAGCCCCUAACACUGCAGGGCUGGAACGUGAGCCUGGGCAGGGGCCUUGGAACCCACCCUAGGCGUGUAAACCCUGGACAGAGAUUCAGAAGACUGAGCAAGAGGAAGUAGGCAGUCCAAAAUGGAGAAAGAAAAGCAAAUUGCAGAGCAAUGCACGUGGUAUGAGAGCAUUUUUACAAGAACCAAAGCUCUGUGUGCUGUGGCCAGGACUGGUUUCUGCAGUAACAGGCUUGGGAAAGGAGGCUACUUGACCGCAAACACUGCUUCUCUCUGGAGACCAGGCUGGGGCAGGAGAAUUUCCGUUUAUUUUGGAUAGUCUUACAUGACCUAAACUGUUUUCUUUUUCUACACAGAGACUCUAUCAUUAUUAUUUUUAAUAGACAAUUUUUAGAAGAGUCUUAGGUUCACGGAAAAAUUGAGCAGAAAGUACAGAGAGUUUCCAUAUACUCCCUGCGAUACAUCAUUAUCACCCAAAGUCCAUAGUUUACAUUCAGGCUCACUCUUGUGCCAUACAUUCUAUGGGUUUGGACAAAUAUGUAACAACACAUAUCCACCAUUAGAGUGUCAUACAGAGUAGCUUCACUGCCCCAAAAAUCCUCUGUCCCACUCCUAUUCAUCCUUCCCUGCCCACUAACCCCUGGCAGACACUGAUCUUUGCAAUCAGGCAGCAUAAGUCCUUCAAUGUUGUUUUUCCUUUUAAAAAUAACUUUGGCUAUUCUAGACCUUUUGUAUUUCUUUAUACAUUUCAGAAUCACCUUGCCAAUUUCUCUAAGGAAGUCUGCUAGGGGCCGGGUGCAGUAGCUUGCGUCUGUAAUUCCCAGCUACUCAAGAGGCUGAGGCAGGAGGGUCACUUGUGGUCAGGAGUUUGAAACUAGCCUGGGCAACACAGUGAGACUCCAUCUCUAAAACAAACAAGCAAAAAAUCGAGAUUUAUUCUCCCGAAUUAUCUCUUAGAUCUGUUUGUUUCUCUCUGUCUUUAUCACAGUUACCACCCUAAUAGAAACCAAGAUGAACAAUAGCCCACUAGCCCACUGACUGGUCCAUCUGUCUUCAUUUUGGCCCCUCAUCUGUUCUUCACCUGUAAAUUGAAGUGGUAUUUUCUUUCUUUUUUUUUUUUAAGGUGGAGUCUCACUCUGUCGCUCAGGCUGGAGCGCAGUGGUGCCAUCUAGGCUCACUGACAUGGCUCUCUCCUGGGUCCAAGCAAUUCUUCUGCCUCAGCCUCCUGAGUAGCUGGGAUUACAGGCAUGCACCACCAUGCCCAGCUAGUUUUUUUAGAAAAUAUUUAAUAGCAAUGGGGGUUCACCAUUUUGGCCAGGCUGGUCUCGAACUCCUGAUGUCAGGUGAUCCAUCUGCCUUAGCCUCCCAAAGCACUGGGAUUACAGGCAUGAGCCACCAUGCCUGGCCUCUGAAGUGGUAUUUUCAAAAUAUUUAUCUGAUCAUGUCACCUACUUCAAGGAUGUCUCAUUAUUCCUGUUAAAUUAGUGAACAAGCAAUAUUGCACGGGUACUGAUCCAUCAGAACACACACUAGCAUCUUGGAGCAGCAUUUAAAACCUGCUCCCUCCGUAUCAUGCCAGAUAUUACUCUUCUAUUUGCCAGAUUGUGGGGUAGUCCACACAGGGAUCGGGCAGCUAGAUUUGUGUGUGGAGUACUGGGAGGAACACUUGGGUAGCUCUGGGCAGCAGCUUUUCAUCCACAGGCGGGACGUGUGUGAUGUCUAAACAGGACGGCCGUGCUGGUGCAGAUGGGCUGCCCCUCAGGCCUGCUUCCAAGGCCUUCUGUGGUCUGGCAUCUGUCCACUUCUCCAGUGUUGUCUCCUGGCCUCCCUGCUCAGCCACACUGGUUUUCUUUGAGUUCCUUGAAAAUGCCACACACUCGCUACAGGGGCCCUUGGACAUUCUGCUUCCUUCGUGAAUGUCUUUCUUCCCUCUUUCACUUAGCUAACGCCUACUCAUCUUUCCCAUCUGACACUAAUCCUCUAACACUAAUUCCUCAGGAAGCUCCCUUAACCCUCAAGGAGGUGAAAUCCCGCAAUGACAAAACCUCAUGGCACCACGUUCUUCUCUCUAGUGGUCAUCACAGGGGACAUGUAUACAUAUAGUUAUGUGAUUACUCAGUCAGUUCUCUCCUGUGAGCUCCAGGAGAUUGGGGAUUGUCUCUCUUUUUGCUAACCUUUGUGAUGGGCUCAUAGCAGGUGUCCAAUCAAUACUUGUUGAGUAAAUAAAUGAAAAACCAAACUCAGUAUCUUUCCUGCCAGGCCUAUUCUUUCUGAAUUUCCCAUUUUGGCUAAUGGCAUCAUGUUGCCUUAGUGAGAGUCUUAGAAACCACUCUAUAUUCUUCCUUCUUUUUUUCCCAUUAAGAUGGACACAGAUCCUGUCAGUUUCACUUCUUAACUUUCACUCGGGUUGGCGGCCUUUCUUGUCUGUACUAGAACAACCUUCCCCAAACUUACCCCAUUGUCCCCAGUUUUGCCCUUACCCUGUUUAUUCUUCCUGAUGCCUUAGGGUGAUCCUUUGCACUUGAUCGGGGUCAAAUCUAAAGUCACUCAUGAUCUGAUUCUUGCUUACUGGUCCAAGGCCACUUGUCUGCCACCUCUCACAGUACAUUUCCUGUGCUCUCAGGUUCCCUUAGUGAGAAUAAGAAACCCCGGAUGCAGGGCCCAGGUUUUAUUCAUGUCUAUUUUUAGAACCCAGGAUCAUAUCUGGCACAGAGAGGGCAAACAAAUGUUUGUGGAAUUGAAUGGAAAUGCAUAAGACUUAUUUUUGUCUCUCCGUGCUGUUACAAUGCAGUUCAAGGAACAAUGUUCAUAAGGAUGACUGCAAGUCAUUAAGAAGUGGAUUAAAUUAUAUUUAUAAACUUAACACAGGCCAGGUGCAGUGGCUCAUGCCUGUAAUACCAGCACUUUGGGAGGCUGAGACUGGUGGAUCACCUGAGGUAAGGAGUUCGAGACCAGCCUGGCUAACAUGGUGAAACCCCAUCUCUACUAAACAUACAAAAAUUAGCUGGGUGAGGUAAGGAGUUCGAGACCAGCCUGGCUAACAUGGUGAAACCCCAUCUCUACUAAACAUACAAAAAUUAGCUGGGUAUGGUAGCAGGCCCUGUAAUCCCAGCUAUUGGGGAGGCUGAGGCAGGAGAAUGGCUUGAACCUGGCAGGCGGAGGUUGCAGUGAGCUGAGAUUGUGCCAUUGCUCUCAGGCCUGGGCAACAGAGCGAGAUUCCAUCUCACCAGAAAAAAAAAAAAAGUCAAACAAACAAACAAAAACGUAAUACACUACAUCAUGGAAAGUAUUCAAAUGAGAGUGGUUAUGCUAUUAAGGUUUGAUUCUUAAAGGCAUAGUAGUUUAAUUGGUUUGGAAAGUUAGCUAUGCUAAAUCACAUUCUGUAAGUCCUUGGGAUAUCAGGGCAAUCUGACUGCGGAUUAAAAAUAUUGUUUCUCUCUUGGGUGGUGGCGGGAGGGAGAUUUAGCAUUUGCGAAUUUGGCACGGUCGUUCUUAAAUUCCACAUUUACAUCAUUUUUCUGUUCCUCUAUGUUAUUGUUAUAUCGCAAACUUGCAAACUUCUAAUGACUUGCUUUUAUUUGCUGCUCUGAAAGACUGUGUUUUGGAAUUAAAAUUAAAUUUAGGUAUAAUAUAGAGUGUGGCUGGAGAGGCCCAGAGGCAAAAACGUAUGCAAUUCAACACGAAACAGGAAGGAAUGGUGCCAGCAGGUACCAUGACAGACACAGCCUAUUUAAGGGACCAAAUUUCCAUCUGUGUAAGGCAGCUGGCCCAACAAGACUGAGAAACAAAAAUCAAAAGGAGAUGGCUUCAGAUACAUGGUAUAAAUCUCCUUUAAACUAGGGAACUCUUACCAAAAGCUGAACAGCAUAAUUUCAUGAAGCUAUUUUAGUGAGGGAUGGGGGCUGUUUAUGGAACAGCUGUAGUAGAAAGGCUGAAUAAGACACUGUAAUUAUAGCAUUUGAGACUCUACGACUUUUUCUAACGUGUGGUAUGAACAAUUAAGAUGAUUAAGUGAUAAUUGUCUCCAUUUUCUUAUCAGGAAAAUGACUUUGCUUCUAAAGGUAAGUAAAAUGGUUGCAGCAGUUUCAGUGCUGACCUCCACGUCCAACUUGGAAAUGCCACUUGGAAUUAAGGUCCAACCUUAGGCUCUGUCCUGAGAAACAGGUGAUCUGUCUUCCAACAGCCAACAUAAGGCAUUGGCUCAGUCAGACCAUGUAAUUUGAAGUUGUCCUUUUAAUAAUUCUGUGAAUUUUUCAAGUUUGGUCAGCUUUCCUGCUGUGGGUAAUGGUACUAACGGACUGAUGAAGCCAGAUGUUACUGUAAAGUCUUAUUUAUAGUGAAAUCUCAUAUAUUGGCCCUGAUUAAUAUGAAAUUUGAGUUAAUUUGGACAGGGCCUAACUUACAUCUUACCAUUAUACUAUCUUUGUAAAAAAACAUUUAAAAAUUAAAUCUGCCUUAUCAAUAAGAUUUCAGGCUAUGUGUGGUGGCUCAUACCUGUAAUCCCAGCACUUUGGGAGGCUGAGGCAGGCAGAUCACCUGAGGUUAGGAGUUCAAGACCAACCUGGCCAACAUGGCAAAACCCCGUCUCUACUAAAAAUACAAAAAUUAGUCGGCAUGUUGGUGGGUGCCUGUAAUACUAGCUACUCGGGAGGCUGAGGCAGGAGAAUUGCUUGAACCUGGGAGGCGGAGUUUGCAGUGAGCUGAGAUUGAGCUGCUACAAUCCAACCUGGGCAACAGAAUGAGACUCUAUCUCAAAAAAAGAAAUUUCAAAAUGAUUAAACAACUUUCAGGCACCCUGAAGGAUUUAGAAAUACUAUUUAAAUGUAACUUAUUAUCCUGGUUGCCAAAUCACCAUUGUCUUUUCACAAAAUAAGUUCUGUUAGUAGCUAGUAAUGUGUUACCCUACAUCCAGUCUUUCAUCUCAAUACAUGUUUUCAUUGAAUAAAUUCUAUGUGCUUAAUGCAAUAUUCAGUAUUUCUGGAGCUAAAAAUAAAUACCAAGGAGCCAAUAAUGCAUUUCGCAGGAUAAAACUUUCGCCCACAAAUAUUUUUAUAACUAAAUGAGAGUAUACAGUAAUCCCUUAGUAUCUGCAGUGGGUUGGUUCCAGACCCCCACGGAUACUAAAAUCCAUGAAUGCUCAAGUCCUUUAUAUAAAAUUUUGUGAUAUUUGAAUAUAACCUAUGCUGUAUCCUCCCAUAUACUUUAAAUCAUUUCUAGAUUACUUAUCAUACCUAAUACAAUGUAAAUGUCAUGUAAAUAGUUUUUAUACUGUGCUUUAAAAUUUUUUUAUUGUUUUAUUAUUAUUACUAUUUAUUUUUUUCAAAUAUUUUUGAUCUGAGUUUAGUUAAAUUUGCUGGUACCAAACCUACAGAUGACGGAGGGCUGACUGUAUAACCAUGGGUUAACAUGUGUCAUGAUUAAGUAUUACAGAAAUUCAAGACUGGGCAUCGUGGCUCAAACCUGUAAUCUCAGCACUUUGGGAGGCUAAGGUGGGUGGAUGACCUGAGGUCAGGAGUUCAAGACCAACCUGUCUAACAUGGAGAAACUCCAUCUUUGGUAUUUUUUUUUUUUUUUUUUUUUUUGAGACGGAGUUUCACUCUUGUUACCCAGGCUGGAGUGCAAUGGCGCGAUCUCGGCUCACCGCAACCUCCGCCUCCUGGGUUCAGGCAAUUCUCCUGCCUCAGCCUCCCGAGUAGCUGGGAUUACAGGCACGCGCCACCAUGCCCAGCUAAUUUUUUGUAUUUUUAGUAGAGACGGGGUUUCACCAUGUUGACCAGGAUGGUCUCGAUCUCUCGACCUCGUGAUCCACCCGCCUCGGCCUCCCAAAGUGCUGGGAUUACAGGCGUGAGCCACCGCGCCCGGCCCAUCUUUGGUAUUUUUAUACCAAAAAUUAGCCAGGCGUGGUGGUGGGCUCCAGUAAUCCCAGUUACUAGGGAGGCUGAGGCAGGAGAAUCACUUAAACCCAGGAGGCAGAGGUUGUAGUGAGCCAAGAUUGCGCCACUGCACUCCAGCCUGGGUGACAGGGCCAGACUCUGCCUCAAAAAAAGAAAAAGUAUUACAGAAAUUCAGAGAGGUAGAGAUCAAGGAACUCUGGAUUAUUGAGGGGCAGCCUUGAUAGAGGAUGUUUGCCCUAUGGAUAGAAAGGCAACUUUGGUUAUUUCCAAAAGAUGACAGCUCAGACUUCUGUCAGUAUACCAAGAACUUUUCUGCAUUUAAUUUAAAUGAUUAAUAUUGACUUUUUGGAGGCUGCGAGAGCAGUAUAUGAGAAGCUCUGUUUCCAGCUGUCCUCCGUGUUUACCCCCAUCUCUGUAACUGUUGAGUGUCUCAGGUAUGGUUGCUGGGGCUGUCCCAUACCAAACCACCAACCCUUAGGGCUGAGGUAGCAGAAGUACUGGCUCAGGAGCUGCUGUUACUCUUGACACUGCAAGGGGUAAACACACGUGAGGCCUUCAUGCCUCCCUUAUUCUCAAAGAUUUUGGGCAAGACUUAAAAUUUUCUUUUGCAUAUCCUCAUGCUACAAUAGUAUUAAUUUUCAACUUCCAUGGAAACCAUACCUCUCACUUAUAAGGGACAUCCAUUAUCUUUGCCUACUCGGCAUUGAUUUUCCCUUUUUCUGACAACAGAAACCUUGUGCAGCAUUUGCCAGUAGUAUGAGAGCUCUGCUCACACCAGCUCAUACAGCCAAUCGUUAAGAUUUCAGGAAUUUGGCUGUACAUUGUCAUUUGAUUUAUUUGUUUGUUUGUUUGUUUAUUUAUUGAGAUGCAGUCUCCCUAUGUUGCCCAGGUUGGAGUCCAGUGGUGCUGUCUUGGCUCACUGCAACCUCCGCCUCCUGGGUUCAAGUGAUCCUCCUGCCUCAGCCCCCCCAAGUAGCUGGGACUAUAGGUGUGCACCACCAUGCCCAGCUAAUUUUUUUUGUAUUUUUAGUAGUGAUGAGGUUUCACUAUAUUGGCCAGGCUGGUCUUGAACUCUUGAGCUCAGGUGAUCUGCCCGCCUCGGCCUCCCAAAGUGCUGAGAUUACAGGUGUGAGCCACCACAUCUGACCCAUAGUCAUUAUUUAACAUUAAAUUCUACAAACUUCUGUUUUUUGAGACAAGGUCUCACUCUGUUGCUCAGGCCAGAGUGCAGUGGUAUAAUUAUAGCUCACCGCAGCUUCCACUUCCUGGGCCCAAGCAAUCCUCCUGCCUCCUGAGUAGUUGGGACAACUGCUGGGCACCACCACACCCAGCUAGUUUAACAUUUUUUUGUACAGAGAUGGGGUCUUAUUUUGUUGCCCUGGUCUCCAGCUCCUGGCCUCAAGUGGUUGUACUGUCUUAGGGCAGUAAUUGGGCCAACCAGGCUUACAGGCCUGCAGCACCUCCUCUGGUGCUGGGCCCUGGAUGCCCAGCUCUACUUCUAGCCCAGGGUCCCCUGGGAAAGUGCCAGGUCAUCACCUUAGGUGAUCCACCCACUUCAACUUCCCAAAGUGUUGGAAUUACAGGCGUGAGCCACUGCACCUGGCCAAUAAAAAUGGUUUUUAAAAAUCUCUUUAGGGUUGUUACUUAGCACUGAAUUACAAGAAAAGAAUAGCAAAGCUAUGUUUGAUAAUGGGUUGAUUACUCGGGGUGAUGGUAAUCCAAGAGAUUUUGAAUUUGGCAGAGCCACAUUCAUGUGUUAGGAAAAUUUUUAGGUCUUUCUGAUUACCUUUGGAUAGGCUGACCUUUGGACAUUUAACCUGUUCACUGACAACCAUGCUUUGACUGUGGCUAUCCUAACUUGCCCAACAUGCCACAAGAGGAGGAAGUCCAUGUUUCCUGGGAAACACUCCUUGCGGUGCAAAACCCAUUACACACCUAGUCAAACUCAAUGUCACACUUCCUCAAAAAGUGAAAAAGCUCAACACUAAAAGAAUAUGCCUUGGCCAGGUGGGAUGGCUCAUGCUUGUAAUCCCAGCACUUUGGGAAGCUGAGGCAGGUGGAUCAGUUGAGAUCAGGAAUUGAAGACCAGCCUGGUCAACAUGACAAAAACCCUGUGUCUACUAAAAAUACAAAAAUUAACCAGGUAUGGUGGUACAUGCCUGUAAUCCCAGCUACUUGGGAGGCUGAGGCAGGAGAAUCAUUUGAGCUCAGAAGGUUGCAGUGAGCCAAGAGCACACCACUGUACUGUAGCCUGGAUGACAGAGUGAGACCUUGUCUCAAAAAAAAAAAAAAAAAAAAAAAAAAAGCAGAGAGAGAGAGAAUAUGCCCAAUUCAAGGAAAGAGUCUUAGAUUAUAAAUAAAAAAUGAGUUUGCUAGUCCAGAUCUUUCCGUAACUUUGGGCAAACACCUCACCUUUCUGAGCCUCAUUGUUUUCUUCCAGAGAGUGAGGAGCUAAAGCUAAAUGAUUUCAAGGGUAUCUUCCACCAUUCUAAAUUCUAUGAUGCUACUCUAAACAUUUAUAUUACUAUUUAUUCUUGAAUUCUCUAACAUUUUCUCAUCAAGUAAAAACAAAAUAUUUCGACAAAUUGUCACGUUUCCAGAAAGGCUCAUAUUUUCACCUUUUUAAUGUAACAGAAAUUAGGCAAUGGGAGUGAGUGACAAAUGACUUUGCACUGGAGGGAGACAGAGAAGAAUGGGUCCUGGAGUGAUGUCUACUGUGGGGAAGGCAGCCUUUGCAGAGUGCAUGCUUUGGCUUCUAGCUCUUGCAUCACAAGCCUGUGAUCACAGGUGCUAAUUAAGUUAAUAAAAAGGCAUUUUGUUAAGACACGUGCUCCACACCUGCUGUGUCACCAGGCACAGGUUUCUUGCCUGUUGUGAUGGAACAGUUUUUACCAAUCAACAAUGAAGGCGGAAAGAAAAGAACAGCAAGAAGGAAAAGUCAAACUAUAGCCAACAUGACCCUGAUUCUCCCCUGACAAAUGCCUAUUAAUUUGUCCUGACACAUUGGGAAAGCACACAUUCUGAAUUUGACAUUCCCAAUUACGUAGGGCGUGACAACUUUGUUUAAUAGUUAUUAUACUUCCCAGAAAUAACAUGCUGUCCUCACCCAGUUAAGGAUGAGGUUGAUAAACUGAGAAAUUAUAGCACGUAGAAACAUAAUUUUAGAUGCAAAUGAAGAGCACACCCAUCUCUCUAUAAUGACACUUUUACUGAAUGGUCUGGGGGUCACUUAUUUGGAAUUAUCUUAUUUUAUUUAUUUAUUUUUUUGAGACAGAGUUUCGCUUUUGUUACCCAGGCUGGAGUGCAAUGGCACGAUCUCGGCUCACCGCAACCUCUGCCUCCUGGGUUCAGGCAAUUCUCCUGCCUCAGCCUCCUGAGUAGCUGGGAUUACAGGUACACGCCACCAUGCCCAGCUAAUAUUUGUAUUUUUAGUAGAGACGGGGUUUCACCAUGUUGACCAGGAUGGUCUCGAUCUUUUGACCUCGUGAUCCACCCGCUUCCACCUCCCAAAGUGCUGGGAUUACAGACUUGAGCCACCGCGCCCGGCUGGAAUUAUUUUAAACAGCUUGGUAACGUCUCUUUGACUUGAAUGCAGAUGCUAUGUGUUUUUGUUUGAGGAAGAUACAUGAAAAAUAUUUUUAGCUUAAGCUACAUUUUAUGUUAAAAAUGGACAUAUCCCAACAUAUUAGGAUUCUAUUUAGUUGUGAGAGACUUAAAAUCCAAAAUAAGAGUUUAUUUUCCUCCAUGUAGAAAUCCUGGCAGGAUGUCCAAGUUUAACACGGUGCUCCACGGUGUCAGGGACCAAGCAGCUCCGACCCCUUUCUCUGCUGUGCAUGACUGAAAUUCUCAAGCUCAUCUUUUGGUUCAAGGUGAAGUUGUACACAAUUUCCACUUACUUUUAUUUUUUAUUUUUUCGAGAUAGAGUUUCACUCUUGUUACCCAGGCUGGAGUGCAAUAGCACAAUCUUGGCUCACUGCAACCUCUGCCUCCCAGGUUCAAGCGAUUUUCCUGCCUCAGCCACCCAGGUAGCUGGGAUUACAGGUGCCCACCACCACACCUGGCUAAUUUUUGUAUUUUUAGUAGAGAUGGGGUUUCUCCAUGUUGGUCAGGCUGGUCUUAAACUCCUGACCUCAGGUGAUCCGCCCACCUCGGCCUCCCAAAGUGCUGGUAUUACAGGUGUGAGCCACCAAGCCUGGCCCACAGUUUCCACUAACAUCUUAUUGGCAAUCCUUAGACACAAGACAGGGCUUCAAGGAGGCUGGAGAAGUAAGUCCUCUCUUCUAGGCAGCUAUGUGCCUUGCUUAAAGUUGUGUGUUCUGUGGUUAUAG